CUCAUAAAUUGGGAAAGAUCCUUAGUGACCCCAGUACAGAAGAUAGAAUUCCUGGGUUUCGAAGUUGACUUGAUCGCCCAAUUCUUGUUCCUCCCAGAGGCCAAGUUAAAGGCUACGAAGAAAGAAAUAAAACGUACGCUGCGGACCACCUCUCUCUCCAUACGACAACUGGCGAGAGUGAUUGGUCUUUUGGCCUCAUCAAUUCAGGCGAUUUUUCC